rnacentral:tRNA from 1 species
GCGCCCGUAGCUCAGCUGGAUAGAGCGUCGGCCUCCGGAGCCGAAGGCCACAGGUUCGAAUCCUGUCGGGCGCACCA